AUCCAGCUGACGAGUCCCAAAUAGGACGAAGUGGCGCGCAUCAUGGAU
rnacentral:hammerhead_ribozyme from 1 species